rnacentral:tRNA from 1 species
UCCACGGUAGCUCAGUUGGUAGAGCAGGCGGCUGUUAACCGCCUUGUCGGGGGUUCGAGUCCCUCCCGUGGAGCCA